rnacentral:rRNA from 1 species
CCUGCCCAGUGCGAAAUAUUAAUGUAAACGGCCGCCCUAGCGUGAGGGUGCUAAGGUAGCGAAAUUCCUUGCCUUUUGAUUGUAGGCCUGCAUGAAUGGUUUAACGAGGGUUUAGCUGUCUCUAAAUUUUUAAUUGAAAUUGUAUUGAAGGUGAAGAUACCUUCAUUUAAAAGUUAGACAAAAAGACCCCGUGCAACUUUGAAAAUUAACUUUAUUCAGGGGUAAAAGAUUUUUAGGUGGGGCGCCUAGAAAGUAAGCCUAACCUUUCUGAGUAAGAGUUUCUUUCAGGAGUUGACCCGAUUAUAUUCGAUCAUAGGAGAAGUUACGCCGGGGAUAACAGGCUAAUCCUUUAGUAGAGCUCGUAUUGGCUAAAGGGAUUGGCACCUCGAUGUUGAAUCAGGGAUGAUAGCUUCAAGGCGUAGAGGCUUUGAGAGUAGGUCUGUUCGACCUUUAAUACCCUACGUGAUCUGAGUUCAGACCGGGGA